rnacentral:rRNA from 1 species
AAACAAGCUGCUUUGAGGGAAAUAUACAAUUUUGUGCAAAUUGAAGAGGAGAGUCUGCCACAAGAUUGGGGGAGGCUUCUCAAGUUACUUAAUGCUUUGCCUGAUCAUCCUCUUAAGAAACCUGAAAUAUUUGAUAUUUUUUAUAAUGGACUAACUUAUGCUUCCAGAGAUUGCCUGGAUAGUUGUGCUGGUUCUCUUUUCAGGGAAAGAACACCGGAUGACGCUGAAAUUCUAUUGAAUAAUAUGUUGGAUAAUGAAAAUAAUUGGGCACCUCCCGAGCUACCUCCUGAGCCAAUUAGUGAGCCUAUUCCUAAACCAACUCCGAACAAGAGAGGUGUUCUAUUUCUCAGUCCUGAAGAUAUGCAAGAGGCAAAGAAAUCUAUGAAAGAAAAAGGUAUUAAAGCCGAAGAUGUUAAGAAUUUACCUCCUAUUGAAUAA